CCCAAAUAGUGCCACCAAGUGCUCAGACGCCUGCUAUGAAGAACAAUUUUCACAGAAACAGCACAUGCGGGUUCUCAAGAUUCAAUUCAGGUUUGCAUAGCAAACACUUUACCUGCUGAACCAUCUUGCCGGCCUAUCGGAGACAGGAACCUAGCAUGGAUGCCCUCUGAGAGGCCCAACAAGCUGCUGACUGAUACAGAUGCAGAUACUUACACCCAACCAAUGGAUUGAAAUCAGGGACCCCUGUGGUUGAAUUAGGGAAAAGCUGAAAGAAGCUGAAGAGUAGGAUGACCCCACAAGAAGACCAUCAGCCUCAACUAACCUGGACCCCUGAGAUCUAUCAGAAACUGAGCCACCAACCAGGCAGCGUGCGUGAGCUGGUGGAAGGCCUUGACACAUUUACAGCCCAGAACUACCUGGUCGGGCCUCAGUGGGAGAAGACCAGCCUAACACUCCAGAAAUUUGAGGCCCCAGGGAGUGGGAAGACCUGGUGGUGGUGGGGAUCCUCUUGGAGCUGAGGAAGGAGGGGUGGUGUGAUGGUGAAGUUUGGCUUGCCAGUUCUUCCUAUGUUUGGUAUUAAAAUGCUUCGUCG
rnacentral:lncRNA from 1 species